rnacentral:lncRNA from 1 species
AAGCCAGCCAGGGUGUGCAGGGUGUGCAGUCCCCUCAGUAAGGAGUGGCCUCUCGGGUCCUAGGGACCAACUUCUGAGGAGCCCUCGGCAGAUGUGAUUCCAAGCCCAUCGCGUUGACGGUGAAGACUAACCAUCUCAGUUCACAGCUAGAAGAUGAGACACCAGCCUCACCAUUCCCUUCAAAGACGCAUCGCCUGUGGCACCCCUCCCCCAUUCAAAGACGCAUCGCCUGUGACACCACCUCUCCCCCAUUCAAAGACGCAUCACUUGUGACACCCCUCCCCCAAACAUCCACCAUUUAUCUAAUGCCAUGCUGGGAAGCAAGCCUUUAUUACACAGGCCUUUAGGGGACCGGAUGGAGUAGCUAUGUAAUAAAAGUUUGUCCGUGC